GGGAGUUAUAAGACCUGCUAACUCUUCUUCCUGGAAUAACUACCAGCUCCCUCUAC
rnacentral:tRNA from 1 species